UCUCAGAUAGCUCAGUCAGUAGAGCAUGUGACUCUUCAUCACAGGGUCAUGGGUUUGAGCCAUGCAUUGGGCA